CCUACGGGAGGCAGCAGUGAGGAAUAUUGGUCAAUGGGCGCGAGCCUGAACCAGCCAAGUAGCGUGAAGGAUGACUGCCCUACGGGUUGUAAACUUCUUUUAUAAAGGAAUAAAGUGAGGCACGUGUGCCUUUUUGUAUGUACCAUAUGAAUAAGGAUCGGCUAACUCCGUGCCAUCAGCCGCGGUAAUAAGGAGGAUCCGAGCGUUAUCCGGAUUUCUUGGGUUUAAAGGGAGCGUAGGUGGAUUGUUAAGUCAGUUGUGAAAGUUUGCGGCUCAACCGUAAAAUUGCAGUUGAAACUGGCAGUCUUGAGUACAGUAGAGGUGGGCGGAAUUCGUGGUGUAGCGGUGAAAUGCUUAGAUAUCACGAAGAACUCCGAUUGCGAAGGCAGCUCACUGGACUGCAACUGACACUGAUGCUCGAAAGUGUGGGUAUCAAACAGGAUUAGAUACCCGUGUAGUC
rnacentral:rRNA from 1 species